GUCUAUGGCCAUACCACCCUGAACGCGCCUGAUCUCAUCUGAUCUCGGAAGCUAAGCAGGGUUGGGCCUUGUUUGUACUUGGAUGGGAGACAAAGAUAUACC
rfam:Heterocephalus glaber contig93713, whole genome shotgun sequence.